rnacentral:rRNA from 1 species
CAGCCGCCGCGGUAAUACGGAGGGUGCAAGCGUUAAUCGGAAUUACUGGGCGUAAAGCGCACGCAGGCGGUCUGUCAAGUCAGAUGUGAAAUCCCCGGGCUUAACCUGGGAACUGCAUUUGGAACUGGCAGGCUAGAGUCUUGUAGAGGGGGGUAGAAUUCCAGGUGUAGUGGUGAAAUGCGUAGAGAUCUGGAGGAAUACCGGUGGCGAAGGCGGCCCCCUGGACAAAGACUGACGCUCAGGUGCGAAAGCGUGGGGAGCAAACAGGAUUAGAUACCCCAGUAGUCCCUGUCUCUUAUAU